UACAGAGGUCCCAAGCGUUGUUCGGAUUCACUGGGCGUAAAGGGUGCGUAGGCGGUCGGGUAAGUCUGAUGUGAAAUCUCACAGCUUAACUGUGAAACUGCAUUGGAUACUAUCCGGCUCGAGGAAUGGAGGGGAGACUGGAAUACUUGGUGUAGCAGUGAAUGCGUAGAUAUCAAGUGGAACACCAGUGGCGAAGGCGAGUCUCGUGGACAUUUCCUGACGCUGAGGCACGAAAGCCAGGGAGCAAACGGG
rnacentral:rRNA from 1 species